CGUCAGUAUAGUUUAACCAAAACAUUAAACUGUGAAUUUAAUAAUAAGG
rnacentral:tRNA from 1 species